AGAGUGGACAUUGAAGUGGACCCUCUUCAGCUGUUGGGGCAGCGGGCCCGGCUAGUGGGCAGGACUCAGCAGGAGCAGCCCCGGAUCCUGAGCCGGAUGGAGCCCAUCCCCCCUAACGCACUAGUGAAGCCCAAUGCCAACGAUGCCCAGGUCCUCAUGUGGAGGCCCAAGCGGGGACCACCUCUGGUUGUGAUACCUCCUAAGUAAAAGCAGACUGCCCAACUGUGUGUGGAACACAUGCCACUGAGACCCGCAGUGGGGUGACCAGGGGUGGCAGGAGCCAAACUGAGUUUCUGAGCCAAAGCAGACCCUCUUGGUGUGCCAGCCUUUGCAGCUACUUGUGAUGAGUACAGCUGUUCCUUGGGCGGUAGAACCAUAACCCUUAGGAAAAGCCCCUUCCUCUUAGGAAUAAAGAAACCACUGAUUUGAUAGACUUGCUCUGAUUACCGUGCAAGUAGCCAUAUUUUGGAGCUGACCAGGACGAUUCUUUUAUUUGAACUAUUGACCAUUUCUUUCCUGUGAGACGCAGGGGAUGGAAAUGAAACUAAACGGUGCCUGUGGCAGAUGCUGCUUCCCAACCAAUUAGAAGCGAGAGUGAAAACAUCCACACCAGGUGUUCGUAAGACAGUCUCCUUGUGUGACUGGAGGGUGCUGGGGAAUUGGGUGAAAGAUCCUGGGUUCUGGGGAGAGAGGAAAAGAAGGUGUUACUACAGUUUAAUGACAAGUGUUAGCUGGUGGUCAGAUUGUCAACACACCCCCUGGAAUGAGAGGGACACUUAGAAAACAAAACUCUGUUGUGCCCUUUGAGGGAAAAGCUGUUUUGGAACUGUCCGAGGUGCUGACGUCAGCAGCCCCCAGUGGAGACUGGCUGCUCGCAUCCACUCACUCGCCUCUUUCCAAAGAGAUUGCUCAUUCUAAGUGUUGCUAGUUACGGUAUUGGAUAUACAGUUCCUGUUUUCUGUAGUGAUUAUGGUGUUGGGUCUCUCUUGAGUUUUUAGUCACUCAAUCUGUGACUUUGUUUACAGCCACUGAUUCUUAUCGCCAGCCCUCAAUUCACAAAGAUGUAUAAGCCUCGUGUUCAUGUAGGGUGUAGGGAAUGUCUCAACCAAUGAGAACAACAUUCUCAAUAUUGAGUUUCUGAAUUGUUCAGACACAGGAAGGGCACACAUCUGUGCACACACCCGGGUGCUCACACACCAGGAUUUAGAAAGAAUAACAACUAGUCUUGCCGAUAGUGCCUGAAUAUUCAUUCAUGGCCUUUAAGCACAAAUAGUACACACACUGUAUGCCCACAUAGGUUAACUUCAGCUAUACUUACAAAAAUUCAACGUCAACUGCUUGUCCAGUUGUAGAUAAGAAAUGUUCAGACUUCUUUAGUGAACGUCUGAGCCUUAAGCAAUCUUGGGUUGCUGAGAUCCAGCCAAUAAAGAUGAGAAGCAAUUUCCCUUUAGUCCAGCAGUGCAAAACUUUUUAAAGAGUUUCCAGUGUUUACAGUGGUAAGAUUUCCAACCCUUUCCACCUAAGUCACCAUGCCCCGCCCCACCCUCACUGAAGAGCUUCCCCUGUUAUUCUCAGCGGUGCCGAUUGUGAGGUGCAUCCUUUCUUGUUGAGAAACAACUCGUGUAAACUGACUACAGAAGUCUCACAAUGGUGUAUACUGAGUAAGUAGAUUUUUUUUAAGCCUAAUUUCAGAGGUGAGAGAUUUCCAAGUUCAGGGCCAUUAUACAAAUCCUGUCAUUGACUCCAAAUCUUCCAGAGUUUGGGGACAGAGAAUGCAAACCUUUCUCAUUACUCUUGUUUCCCAUGCACUGUAGUCUAAUUUCCUUCAUGCUCUGAUCCCAAAGGAUGCUACUCAGAGCAAUAUAGCACUAACUUCACAUUCCAACCAUUGGCUUCUUUCACCUAGAUUAGUUACUGAUGGCAAGUUAGUUACAGCAACACAUUAAUGGUGCAUUGGUAACAUCGGUGAGUGGCAAAGACUCUGGAAAUAAGUCAGCUCCUAACUUGGCUUUCCCAUGCUUCCCUACUUUUUAAUGGCAGCUGACCUCAGAGACCUACAGAUUGAAGAGUAAAGUUGCUUAUUUUCCAUGCUAACAUCAGAAGCAGCAGUCUCUCCCUCACAUUGAAUCAGAUGCCAUUUUUAUGAGAUUUGGGUCAAUGGAUGCUGAUCUUGGAAUCUAAGCCAUGUAGCCCCACUUUAAGAAAAUCUGAUUUUUUUUUACAUCUAAAAUUGUAAGAACAGAUGAAUAAGUUUAUAUUAAAAAUUCUAUGG
rnacentral:lncRNA from 1 species